UAGGGAAUCUUCGGCAAUGGGGGCAACCCUGACCGAGCAACGCCGCGUGAGUGAAGAAGGUUUUCGGAUCGUAAAGCUCUGUUGUAAGUCAAGAACGAGUGUGAGAGUGGAAAGUUCACACUGUGACGGUAGCUUACCAGAAAGGGACGGCUAACUACGUGCCAGCAGCCGCGGUAAUACGUAGGUCCCGAGCGUUGUCCGGAUUUAUUGGGCGUAAAGCGAGCGCAGGCGGUUUGAUAAGUCUGAAGUUAAAGGCUGUGGCUCAACCAUAGUUCGCUUUGGAAACUGUCAAACUUGAGUGCAGAAGGGGAGAGUGGAAUUCCAUGUGUAGCGGUGAAAUGCGUAGAUAUAUGGAGGAACACCGGUGGCGAAAGCGGCUCUCUGGUCUGUAACUGACGCUGAGGCUCGGAAGCGUGGGGAGCGAACAGGAUUAGAUACCCUGGUAGUCCACGCCGUAAACGAUGAGUGCUAGGUGUUGGAUCCUUUCCGGGAUUCAGUGCCGCAGCUAACGCAUUAAGCACUCCGCCUGGGGAGUACGACCGCAAGGUU
rnacentral:rRNA from 1 species